GAUGAACGCUGGCGGCGUGCAUAACACAUUCAAGUCGAACGGAGUGUAGCAAUACACUUAGUGGCGGACGGGUGAGUAACACGUGAGCAACCUGCCUGUGUGAGGGGGACAACAGCCGGAAACAGCUGCUAAUACCGCAUGAUGUAUUCGAAUCGCAUGGUUUGAAUACCAAAGAUUUAUCACACACAGAUGGGCUCGCGUCCGAUUAGUUAGAUGGUGAGGUAACGGCUCACCAUGACUGCGAUCGGUAGCCGGACUGAGAGGUUGAACGGCCACAUUGGAACUGAGAUACGGUCCAGACUCCCACGGGAGGCAGCAGUGGGGAAUAUUGGCAAUGGGCGCAAGCCUGACCCAGCGACGCCGCGUGAAGGAAGACGGUCUUCGGAUUGUAAACUUCAAACAACAGAGAAGAAACAAAUGACUGUACCUGUUAGGAAGCCACGGCUAACUACGUGCCAGCAGCCGCUGUAAAAC
rnacentral:rRNA from 1 species